UAUGAGGCUGUGAUGUUGAUAACUACCUAUUUUAUGAGGGAUAAAUUAUCCCUAGUGAUUAUAAACACCAAUGGAUCCUUCUGAGCCGAAA